GACGAACGCUGGCGGCGUGCUUAACACAUGCAAGUCGAGCGGAAAGGCCCUUCGGGGUACUCGAGCGGCGAACGGGUGAGUAACACGUGAGUAAUCCGCCCAUGACUUCGGGAUAGCCAGCCGAAAGGCUGAUUAAUACCGGAUAUGACGCCCUCUGGCAUCGGGGGGUGUGGAAAGUUUUUUCGGUCAUGGAUGUGCUCGCGGCCGAUCAGCUUGUUGGUGGGGUAAGGGCCUACCAAGGCUUCGACGGGUGGCCGGCCUGGGAGGGUGACCGGCCACACUGGGACUGAGACACGGCCCAGACUCCUACGGGAGGCAGCAGUGGGGAAUAUUGGACAAUGGGCGGAAGCCGGAUCCAGCAACGCCGCGUGAGGGAUGACGGCCUUCGGGUUGUAAACCUCUUUCAGCACAGACGAAGCGCAAGUGACGGUAUGUGCAGAAGAAGGACCGGCCAACUACGUGCCAGCAGCCGCCGUAACAC
rnacentral:rRNA from 1 species